GUGCCAGCCGCCGCGGUAAUACAGAGGGGGCGAGCGUUGUUCGGAAUUACUGGGCGUAAAGGGCGCGUAGGCGGCCUUCUAAGUCGGACGUGAAAUCCCUCGGCUCAACCGAGGAACUGCGUCCGAUACUGGUUGGCUUGAAUUCGGGAGAGGGAUGCGGAAUUCCAGGUGUAGCGGUGAAAUGCGUAGAUAUCUGGAGGAACACCGGUGGCGAAGGCGGCAUCCUGGACCGAUAUUGACGCUGAUGCGCGAAAGCCAGGGGAGCAAACGGGAUUAGAUACCCCAGUAGUCC
rnacentral:rRNA from 1 species